AUGAGUCAAGUGGCCUACUACCUGGCCUGCCGGCUGAGGAUGAAAGUCCCUGGCUUUCUGUAUUUUUACCCAAACAUCAGCAAGGUGGAUUCCGAUAAGCUUCCUUCCAGAAAAGACCCAGAGGUGAACGUUCCAGAAGGCAUUGUGAAAUCCUGCUCCCAGCGGGAAGAUAACAAACCGGAUGUUGGAGUCAACAAAAAUAGAUGUCUUCUGAGUGAGGCGAACUACUCCCUGAACUACCGGCUGAGGACAUAUGGUGAGUUCCAUAGGUUCACCUCCACAGAAGUUAACCAUGUCCUGCCCCAUCUUGAGAAACUGACCGCUCUCUUCCUCAAAGUUAAUCUCGUCUUUCCCAUACUCCUAGAAAAUAGAAAUGGGUGUUUUACUAUUUGGUUAAAGAUGGAAGACAGAGGCCAAAGUGUUUAGCAACAUUUCCACAUCUGCAGUAAGGUGGGUGUGGGAUUGGGGUUACAAUCCCAGCUAUGGAUUUCUGACGCAGGCACGGAACCACCUGUUUUUCUCAGCAAGAGGCUAAAUCCAUGUUGACAGGAAUCCUCUAUGUAAAGUACAAUAUCCUGCAGAGAAGUAGCAUCUAGUCUGUUGGUCCAAAUGUCUGAGGCUGCUGAGCUUGCAUUUGGUUCUGGUUUCGGCUGAGGCCCAGCAGGCAAAGCUGUGUGUUGGGGACCCUGGGGGAAACACAGUGAUAGCAGACAGUACCUCCUGUGAGGAACUGAAAGGGGAUCCUGCUCCUGAUAGAACCUGUGGUAUGUGUAAGUGGCCCCAUCAAGAGCAGGAAGUACCCUGGUACCAGUGCCUCAGCCUCCCAAUUAGCUGGGAUCCCCGGUGGGCACCACCACGCCUGGCUGCUGUUGGUGUUUGAUGUAGAGGCGGGGUUUCUCCAUGUUGGCCAGGCUGAUCUCGAACUCCUGAGGUCAAGGGAUCUGCCCUCCCAGACCUCCUAAAGUGUUGGGAUUCCGGUCAUGAGCCACCAUGCUGGCUCCACAGAUUCUUUUUUAGUAGAGGUUGUUAAAAUACAUCCGUUGGUCCAGUCUCCUGUAUACAUUUCUCUAACCCUUGGUUGGCCGUGAUACAGGGUGAGCUAGAUGAGUAUUGCAGCAACCCUUCUGGAAAGCAGUCAGGGGAAGUUUUGAAGAUUUUGGGGUACAAGUUUUAAUCGUUUGGACUGACUUAAGUCAGAGGCUAUGGGAUCGAGAUCUACAAGAUGAGACAGAUUUUGUUCCAUGGAUCUGAAAAGCAGGCUCAUCUGCUCCUGAGGCAACCGAAUCUAGGGCCCCGUUAGAACAUUCCCAUCAUAUAAUAUCGCAUU
rnacentral:lncRNA from 13 species